GCACGGAUGCCCGAGUGGUCUAAGGGGUUACGUUAAGGCCGUAAUAUAUUCGUAUUCGUGGGUUCAAAUCCCACUUCGUGCA
rnacentral:tRNA from 1 species